CCGGUUGCCUAGAUGUGAUAAAAAAUUCACAAAGAGACCAUCCGGGUCGCCCCGCCAAACAAAACGGAUCCUUUCAACAGUACCCGAAUCUUCCACACUCUUAACAUCAACAAAGCCAUCGUCACAGCCUCUUUCAUUACAUGUAUAGAGAGAGAGAGAGAGAGAGAGAAAGAGAGAGCCAUGAAUCUGAAAAGAAAGAAGAAAAAGAAACAGAUACAAACACAAACAAAAACACAGCAACAGAGAGAGAGAGAGAGAGAGAGAGAGA